UACAGAGGCAGGCAGGCAUCCUUGAGCUGUGGUGGGCUCCACCCAGUUCGAGCUUCCCAGCCACUUUGUUUACCUACUCAAGCCUGAGCAAUGGCGGGCGCCCCUCCCCCAGCCUCACUGGCACCUUGCAGUUUGAUCUCAGACUACUGUGCUAGCAAUGAGUGAGGCUCCAUGGGUGUAGGACCCUCUGAGCCAGGUGCAGGAUAUAAUCUCCCAGUGUGCCAUUUGAUAAGUCCAUUGGAAAAGUGCAGUAUUAGGGUGGGAGUGACCCGAUUUUCCAGGUGCCGUCUGUCACCCCUUUCUUUGACUAGGAAAGGGAAUUCCCUGACCCCUUGCACUUCCCGGACGAGGCAAUGCCUCACCCUGCUUCGGCUCAUGCACAGUGCACUGCACCCACUGUCUUGCACCCACUGUCCUGCACCCACUCUCCGGUACUCCCCAGUGAGAUGAACCCGGUACCUCAGUUGGAAAUGCAGAAAUCACCCAUCUUCUGCAUCACUCACGCUGGGAGCUGUAUACUGGAGCUCUUCCUAUUUGGCCAUCUUGGCUCCACCCCCCACUGGCCUCCAAUUUUUCAAGAAAAACUAUAAAUACAGAUUCCUCUCAGAAAUCUCUCAAUUUUAAAAUGUCAGCAACUAAUCAAAAACAAACAAACAAGACCAUGUGGGUCAAAUAAGACCUGACAGCUGGAUUUGGUCCAAAGGCUGUGAGUUUGGAAUCUCUUUUCUGAAUUGGAAGUGAUUAUGAGCUAAGAAUCUCCAAAAACAAAGCCUGUGUGUUUUCCCUGGGAAAGGGAAAUCCACACCAUCUGGGCACACAUCUCUCGAGAAUCACUCCAGAAAGGGAGGGAAGCACCUUUCUAGCAGCUUUCUCAUGCAUCUGCAGGGGGGACAGGUCACAGCCUAUUUCUCUAUCAGGUCAUCCUGCCACCAGGUGGGAAGGAAUGAAGGGAGAGGACCCACCCCACAGUGCUCUCAGAGAUGGAGGGUAAAUCCCUAGAGACCAAGCCACAUGGGCUCAUCACGGAAGGUCCUACACAUGGAGAAAACAUAACUGCACCUGUGACCAUCUUGGGGACCCUCUAUUUUGAGUGCUGGCCUUAUCAUGAGUAGUGAUAAGAGGAAAGGGAUUAAAAUGCUAGAAGCUGGGGUAGCUGCACCAUCAAGAGGCCUUCAGAGGCCGGGAGUGGCAGCUCACACCUGACAUCCCAGUGCUUUGAGAGGCCAAGAAGGAAGGAUCACCUGAGGCCAGGAAUUCAAGACCAGCUUGGGCAACAUAGCAAGACCCCGUCUCUACAAAAAAAAAUCAUAAAACAAUCAGCCAGGCAUGGUGGCACAUGCCUGUAGUUCCACCUACUCGGGAGGCUGAUGUGGGAGAUCACUUGAGCCCAGGAGCUCAAGGUUGCAGUGAGCUGUGAUCACGCCACUGCACUCCAGCUUUGGCAGCAGAGCGAGACACUGUCUGAAAAAAGAAAAAGAAGAAUAAGAAGAAGACGACUUCGGCCUUUACCACAAUUGGGAGAACAGAAUCUUUGGGAAGGUGGUGAUAUCAAUUAACAAAACAGAUAAACUGCUGUAUCGGAGGCUCUGAGUGAUAGUGUUUUCAACAAGACCAGUGUUCUCAUCUCUCUCCUGUAAUGGCAUGAGAAUAUGGAGUCCAGGGCUGACAUGGUGCCUCCGCAGAGGCGGGACCCAGCCUCCUCUGUUCCACUCUUGCAUUCUUCGAUGUCAAACUCAUCUUCAGGGUCCAAAAUUGUGCACCGUGAUGCUGACACUCCAGCCAGCGGGAAGGUGGUGAAAAGAAACGACACUUCUUCCCUCAAAGGACCUGGCUCCGAAGUUGCUCGCUUCACUGCUGCUCACAUCCCAUCAGCCAGAACCUCGCCAGGCAGCCACACCAGCUGCACAGGAGGUGGGGAGACGAACCCUAUAACUAAGGGGCUAUACGCAAUAUCCAUUGCAGCGUAACAAACCACCACGCAGGACUGAGACAUCAGUAAUUGAUUAUUUCUCACAGUUGCAUGAGGUGACAAUCCAGGCAGUUCUGUGGGACUCUCCAGUGGCUGCAGGUGUUGGACAGCUGGAUGGAAGGAUCACAGCAGCCUCAUGCAUGCACAGUGGCAGUGGCCUCCGCUGUCUCCUCCAUGAGUCCACUCUUUCUCCAGUGGGCCAUAUGGAUCACGGCGUGGUGACCUCAGUGUUCCGAGGGGUGCAGGGCAGGAUCUGCUGUGCUCCUAAAGGUCUAGGCUCCAGAACUCACACGACCACACUCCUACUGUAUUCUAUUAAUCAAAGCAAACCACGGGACCAGCCCAGAUUCAAAGAGGUAGACAGGCCGCACCAUGUGAUGUCAGGGACAGCAAUGUCACACUGCAAGGGUGUAGGGCCGGGAAGCACCAUUCACUGGGAGUCAGAAUUGUAACCAUCUCCCAUGGUGGCCCAAAUUAAGAUUCUACUCUAAGUAGGAAAAGGAGAGUGGAUACUGAAGGGAUUCAUUUAUUCUGAAGUGAGAAAUCCCCAAAAAUAAAAGCAAGCAGACGUUCCUGGACUUGGCCACUUAUCACCAGAUUUAUGGUCCUGUUUAUUAGUCACUUUGUGGUCAUGCUAGGGAAAUCUGUCGCUUGAAAUGAUUGACUUUUCUAACCCAUCAUAAAGCUCCUAUCUGGCUGAAUUCAACACAAGCUUCUCAUUUGAAGACGCGGAGGUGAACUCUGAGUUCACAGGACUUUAACUGCCCUGCAAAGACUGGCGGCUACAGGCACGGAGGCUGCAAGGACAGGCAACUACAGGUAUGGAGGCUGCCAGGACAAGCAACUAGGUACGAAGGCUACAAGGACCAGCAUGGAGGCUGCAAGGACAGGCGACUACAGACAUGGAGGGUGAAAGGACAGGCGACUAAAGGUACAGAACUCUCUCUGUUCCCGGAGCAAUUCAGGACUUCUGCAGAUAUUGAGGACUUUUAUCUUUCAACAUAAGGAAACACAGAAAUUCUUAACAGACUUUAUUUAAGUCAGGAGAGGAAAUAGCAAAGAACCGUCUAAAGGUGACCGUGUUUUGUGUCACCCCCACAGAUACAAAGGGCCAUUGUCUCAUUAGCCACCUUUUGAGGGCAUCUCACUUCACUUUGAGUGAAAUUGGAACUACUCACUCUGGCUUACAAAGCACUCAUGCCCAAGCCCUGCCCACUCUCCCAGCCUCCCCUGCCCUCCCUUCUGCCUGGAGAUCUUCUGGCCCUGCUUCAGUCAGGUGUCACCUCCCUUGGGGACCCUUCCUUCACCUCCCUAAGGAGUAAGCCCUCUCUCCUCCUGCCACAUGUGAAACAAGUGUCCCUCUAAGCCAUGAUUUUCUUGUAUUUCAAUGAAGAUCAUGAAAUUACCAUUUUUUGGCUGGGCACAGUGACUCACACCUGUAAUCCCAGCAUUUCGGGAGGCCAAGGCAGAUGGAUCACCUGAGGUCAGGAGUUCAAGACCAGCCUGGCCAACAUGGUGGAACCCCAUCUCUACCAAAAAUACAAAAAAAAAAAAUUAGCCAGACAUUGUGGUGCACGCCUGUAAUCCCAGCUA
rnacentral:lncRNA from 1 species